rnacentral:rRNA from 1 species
UACAGAGACUGCAAGCGUUAUUCGGAUUCACUGGGCGUAAAGGGUGCGCAGGCGGCCAGGUGUGUCAGGUGUGAAAGCCCGGAGCUUAACUCCGGAAUUGCGCCUGAAACUACUUGGCUAGAGCAUUGGAGAGGGUAGCGGAAUUCACGGUGUAGCAGUGAAAUGCGUAGAUAUCGUGAGGAACCCCGGGGGCGAAGGCGGCUACCUGGACAAUUGCUGACGCUCAGGCACGAAAGCGUGGGAGCAAAAGGG